GGGGCCCAGAGGGCACAGGGAGCCCCUAGCAUCUCACAGGAGCCAUUACUGUAGAGAAGCCAGAGGCAAGGAGACUCCUCAGAAGGCCACAGCAGCAGUUCAGGUCAGAGGUGAUGAGGUCCUGCCUAGAGCAGGGGCACUGUGAGUAGUCAGGGGAGGGGCUUAUUGCAUAGAAGAAUUGGAGUAACCCACCAGGGAAAUUACCUGGGCAGCAGGAGGGAAGACAGACUGAAGAGAGCCUGGCUUAGAGGCUCUAUCAGUCUGGUGAGAGGACAUGAAGGCCUGAGGGAAAGUGGAGAGGAAGAGCCAGAUAAGAGGAGACUUGGGAACUGAUCAGAUUUAUGAAUCUGGGAGACAAAGCUAUGCCAUGCACAGAGAUGGGAGGAGAACAGGAUACGGACUGGCUCAGAAAGUAAAAAAUCCUGCCAUGGAAUACUAUAUGAAGGACUUAUACGAACUCAUUCAGAAUAAAGUGACAAAACCAGGAGAACAAUUAACAUAACUACACUACUGAAAAAACAACUUUGAAAUCUAUGAGAAUUCUGAUCAAUUCAAUGACCAAUCAUGAUUUCCCAAGAACUGAUGGUGAAAUAUACUGCUGACCUAACAGAGAAUGAUGGAUACAGAGUAUAGAAUGAAACAUAUAUUUUGGGGGGACACAACCAGGAAAUACAGUAAUUCUUUCUGCUUGA